rnacentral:rRNA from 1 species
UGGGGAAUUUUGGACAAUGGGCGAAAGCCUGAUCCAGCAAUGCCGCGUGUGUGAAGAAGGCCUUCGGGUUGUAAAGCACUUUUGUCCGGAAAGAAAUCCUCUGGGUUAAUACCUCGGGGGGAUGACGGUACCGGAAGAAUAAGCACCGGCUAACUACGUGCCAGCAGCCGCGGUAAUACGUAGGGUGCAAGCGUUAAUCGGAAUUACUGGGCGUAAAGCGCGCGCAGGCGGUUUUGUAAGACGGAUGUGAAAUCCCCGGGCUUAACCUGGGAACUGCAUUCGUGACUGCAAGGCUAGAGUAUGGCAGAGGGGGGUAGAAUUCCACGUGUAGCAGUGAAAUGCGUAGAGAUGUGGAGGAAUACCGAUGGCGAAGGCAGCCCCCUGGGCCAAUACUGACGCUCAUGCACGAAAGCGUGGGGAGCAAACAGGAUUAGAUACCCUGGUAGUCCACGCCCUAAACGAUGUCAACUAGUUGUUGGGGAUUCAUUUCCUUAGUAACGUAGCUAACGCGUGAAGUUGGCCGCCUGGGGAGUACGGUCGCAAGAUUGAAAACUC